UGCUCAGCAGUAGUGGAGACAGGUGUUUUCCAUCUCGGUAAUUGACUCCUGGAGUACUUCAGCAGGAAGCAGCCAGCAUCUCGUCGCUCAAGUAUUAGCCUCUGUGGUAGCUACUCAGCCAGCCUCGUAUUAAUUAAGUUUAUGUGUACUUUGCCUUCGACAACGUUUAACUUGUUCUUUGUUCUUCUUAGUGAACUGAACGGGCGACUACCUGGAGGUUACCCAGGCUGGCCCUGGUGGCUUUGUUCAAACACUAACUACGUUUUCAAGGACCUUCCAAGGAUUAUACCGGCGACUACCUGGAGGUUACCCAGGCUGGCCCCGGUGGCUUCGUUUCGCACUAGCCUCGCUCCUAGGAUCUCCCCAGGAAGGAUCUUCCACACACACCUACCCAACGCCGAACUCUGGAACUUCCCCAGCUGGCUGCUUCCGGACCCAGAUUCUCCAGAGACCAUUCAACCCAACCUGUCCAUCCUCCACCUCUUCCUCUGACACUUCGCCUGCACUCCAAGCUCUAACCCAAGUAACUGAGAAAUCAUCGGACUUACCUUUGUCUCCAUAUUCACUUCUUCUCCAGUCCGAAUCCCUCUCCUCCUGGCGGAUUGCCUACUCCAUCCUAUUUUUCUGCGCACCAUACUGAUCCAUUCUCCUUAAAUAAACCUUUUUCAAACUUGUA